CUGACCAUUGUAGGGGGCCCACUACUGACAUGUAUAUAACGGGGAGACUGGCUCUCCCCCCAAGGUACGUCACAUUCUCACACCAUUUCCUCUCCGCCCGCACAUAUUCUGACAAGGGCAUCGGAGUGUCUUUGCAGGUGGCACCCCUCCUCCCCAUAUGAAGUGCUCGGGACCUCGCACACCCGGGACCAGGAAACCACGACCCAGCGAGCCUCUCCAUCAU